UACGGAGGAUCCAAGCGUUAUCCGGAUUUAUUGGGUUUAAAGGGUGCGUAGGCGGCUUUUUAAGUCAGAGGUGAAAGACGGUGGCUCAACCAUCGCAGUGCCUUUGAUACUGAAGAGCUUGAAUGAACUAGAGGUAGGCGGAAUGUGACAAGUAGCGGUGAAAUGCAUAGAUAUGUCACAGAACACCAAUUGCGAAGGCAGCUUACUAUGGUUUAAUUGACGCUGAGGCACGAAAGCGUGGGGAUCAAACAGG
rnacentral:rRNA from 1 species